rnacentral:rRNA from 1 species
UACGUAGGGGGCAAGCGUUGUCCGGAUUCAUUGGGCGUAAAGAGCGUGUAGGCGGCCGGGUAGGUCGGUUGUGAAAACUGGAGGCUCAACCUUCAGAGGUCGACCGAAACCAUCUGGCUAGAGUCCGGGAGAGGAGAGUGGAAUUCCUGGUGUAGCGGUGAAAUGCGCAGAUAUCAGGAAGAACACCAAUGGCGAAAGCAGCUCUCUGGGACGGUACUGACGCUGAGACGCGAAAGCGUGGGGAGCGAACAGG